CCGAGUUUACAACUCCCAAACCCCUGUGAACAUACCUAUAUGUUGCCUCGGCGGAUCAGCCCGCGCCCCGUAAAACGGGACGGCCCGCCGCAGGAUCCACAAACUCUGUUUUUAUUGUAACUUCUGAGUAACGAAACAAAUAAAUCA
rnacentral:misc_RNA from 1 species